rnacentral:rRNA from 1 species
AGCGUACACGGUGGAUGCCCUGGCAGUCAGAGGCGAUGAAGGACGUGCUAAUCUGCGAUAAGCGUCGGUAAGGUGAUAUGAACCGUUAUAACCGGCGAUUUCCGAAUGGGGAAACCCAGUGUGAUUCGUCACACUAUCAUUAACUGAAUCCAUAGGUUAAUGAGGCGAACCGGGGGAACUGAAACAUCUAAGUACCCCGAGGAAAAGAAAUCAACCGAGAUUCCCCCAGUAGCGGCGAGCGAACGGGGAGCAGCCCAGAGCCUGAAUCAGUGUGUGUGUUAGUGGAAGCGUCUGGAAAGGCGCGCGAUACAGGGUGACAGCCCCGUACACAAAAAUGCACAUGCUGUGAGCUCGAUGAGUAGGGCGGGACACGUGGUAUCCUGUCUGAAUAUGGGGGGACCAUCCUCCAAGGCUAAAUACUCCUGACUGACCGAUAGUGAACCAGUACCGUGAGGGAAAGGCGAAAAGAACCCCGGCGAGGGGAGUGAAAAAGAACCUGAAACCGUGUACGUACAAGCAGUGGGAGCACGCUUAGGCGUGUGACUGCGUACCUUUUGUAUAAUGGGUCAGCGACUUAUAUUCUGUAGCAAGGUUAACCGAAUAGGGGAGCCGAAGGGAAACCGAGUCUUAACUGGGCGUUAAGUUGCAGGGUAUAGACCCGAAACCCGGUGAUCUAGCCAUGGGCAGGUUGAAGGUUGGGUAACACUAACUGGAGGACCGAACCGACUAAUGUUGAAAAAUUAGCGGAUGACUUGUGGCUGGGGGUGAAAGGCCAAUCAAACCGGGAGAUAGCUGGUUCUCCCCGAAAGCUAUUUAGGUAGCGCCUCGUGAAUUCAUCUCCGGGGGUAGAGCACUGUUUCGGCAAGGGGGUCAUCCCGACUUACCAACCCGAUGCAAACUGCGAAUACCGGAGAAUGUUAUCACGGGAGACACACGGCGGGUGCUAACGUCCGUCGUGAAGAGGGAAACAACCCAGACCGCCAGCUAAGGUCCCAAAGUCAUGGUUAAGUGGGAAACGAUGUGGGAAGGCCCAGACAGCCAGGAUGUUGGCUUAGAAGCAGCCAUCAUUUAAAGAAAGCGUAAUAGCUCACUGGUCGAGUCGGCCUGCGCGGAAGAUGUAACGGGGCUAAACCAUGCACCGAAGCUGCGGCAGCGACACUAUGUGUUGUUGGGUAGGGGAGCGUUCUGUAAGCCUGCGAAGGUGUGCUGUGAGGCAUGCUGGAGGUAUCAGAAGUGCGAAUGCUGACAUAAGUAACGAUAAAGCGGGUGAAAAGCCCGCUCGCCGGAAGACCAAGGGUUCCUGUCCAACGUUAAUCGGGGCAGGGUGAGUCGACCCCUAAGGCGAGGCCGAAAGGCGUAGUCGAUGGGAAACAGGUUAAUAUUCCUGUACUUGGUGUUACUGCGAAGGGGGGACGGAGAAGGCUAUGUUGGCCGGGCGACGGUUGUCCCGGUUUAAGCGUGUAGGCUGGUUUUCCAGGCAAAUCCGGAAAAUCAAGGCUGAGGCGUGAUGACGAGGCACUACGGUGCUGAAGCAACAAAUGCCCUGCUUCCAGGAAAAGCCUCUAAGCAUCAGGUAACAUCAAAUCGUACCCCAAACCGACACAGGUGGUCAGGUAGAGAAUACCAAGGCGCUUGAGAGAACUCGGGUGAAGGAACUAGGCAAAAUGGUGCCGUAACUUCGGGAGAAGGCACGCUGAUAUGUAGGUGAAGUCCCUCGCGGAUGGAGCUGAAAUCAGUCGAAGAUACCAGCUGGCUGCAACUGUUUAUUAAAAACACAGCACUGUGCAAACACGAAAGUGGACGUAUACGGUGUGACGCCUGCCCGGUGCCGGAAGGUUAAUUGAUGGGGUCAGCGCAAGCGAAGCUCUUGAUCGAAGCCCCGGUAAACGGCGGCCGUAACUAUAACGGUCCUAAGGUAGCGAAAUUCCUUGUCGGGUAAGUUCCGACCUGCACGAAUGGCGUAAUGAUGGCCAGGCUGUCUCCACCCGAGACUCAGUGAAAUUGAACUCGCUGUGAAGAUGCAGUGUACCCGCGGCAAGACGGAAAGACCCCGUGAACCUUUACUAUAGCUUGACACUGAACAUUGAGCCUUGAUGUGUAGGAUAGGUGGGAGGCUUUGAAGUGUGGACGCCAGUCUGCAUGGAGCCGACCUUGAAAUACCACCCUUUAAUGUUUGAUGUUCUAACGUUGACCCGUAAUCCGGGUUGCGGACAGUGUCUGGUGGGUAGUUUGACUGGGGCGGUCUCCUCCUAAAGAGUAACGGAGGAGCACGAAGGUUGGCUAAUCCUGGUCGGACAUCAGGAGGUUAGUGCAAUGGCAUAAGCCAGCUUGACUGCGAGCGUGACGGCGCGAGCAGGUGCGAAAGCAGGUCAUAGUGAUCCGGUGGUUCUGAAUGGAAGGGCCAUCGCUCAACGGAUAAAAGGUACUCCGGGGAUAACAGGCUGAUACCGCCCAAGAGUUCAUAUCGACGGCGGUGUUUGGCACCUCGAUGUCGGCUCAUCACAUCCUGGGGCUGAAGUAGGUCCCAAGGGUAUGGCUGUUCGCCAUUUAAAGUGGUACGCGAGCUGGGUUUAGAACGUCGUGAGACAGUUCGGUCCCUAUCUGCCGUGGGCGCUGGAGAACUGAGGGGGGCUGCUCCUAGUACGAGAGGACCGGAGUGGACGCAUCACUGGUGUUCGGGUUGUCAUGCCAAUGGCACUGCCCGGUAGCUAAAUGCGGAAGAGAUAAGUGCUGAAAGCAUCUAAGCACGAAACUUGCCCCGAGAUGAGUUCUCCCUGACUCCUUGA